GAUGAACGCUAGCGGGAGGCCUAAUACAUGCAAGUCGAACGGUAACAGGUAGCAAUACGCUGACGAGUGGCGCACGGGUGAGUAACACGUACACAACCUGCCUAUGACUGGGGCAUAACUUCGGGAAACUGAAGCUAAUUCCCCAUAACACCGCGCUGAGGCAUCUCAAAGCGGUUAAAGCCCCGGCGGUCAUAGAUGGGUGUGCGUUUGAUUAGCUAGUUGGUAAGGUAACGGCUUACCAAGGCUACGAUCAAUAACUGGUCUGAGAGGAUGAUCAGUCACACGGGCACUGAGACACGGGCCCGACUCCUACGGGAGGCAGCAGUAGGGAAUAUUGGACAAUGGAGGCAACUCUGAUCCAGCCAUCCCGCGUGAAGGAUUAAGGCCCUAUGGGUUGUAAACUUCUUUUCUCUGGGAAUAAAAACUGGGAUUCAUCCUAGCUUGAAGGUACCAGAGGAAUAAGCACCGGCUAACUCCGUGCCAGCAGCCGCCGUAAAAC
rnacentral:rRNA from 1 species